AUCCAGCUGACGAGUCCCAAAUAGGACGAAAUGCGCAUCGAACUGGAU
rfam:Schistosoma margrebowiei strain Zambia genome assembly, scaffold: SMRZ_scaffold0001278